GAUGAACGCGGGCGGCGUGCCUAAUACAUGCAAGUCGAGCGAACAGACGAGAAGCUUGCUUCUCUGACGUUAGCGGCGGACGGGUGAGUAACACGUGGGUAACCUACCUAUAAGACUGGGAUAACUUCGGGAAACCGGAGCUAAUACCGGAUAAUAUUUUUCACCGCAUGGUUCUAUAGUGAAAGAUGGUUUUUCUGUCACUUAUAGAUUGACCCUCGCCGCAUUAGCUAGUUUGUAAGGUAACGGCUUACCAAGGCAACGAUGCGUAGCCGACCUGAGAGGGUGAGAGGCCAAACUGGAAAUGAGACACAGUCAAGAAUCCUAAGGGAGGGAGCAGUAGGGAAUCUUCCGCAAUGGGCGAACGCCUGACGGAGCAAAGACGCGUGAGUGAUGAAGGUCUUAGGAUCGUAAAACUCUGUUAUUAGGGAAGAACAUAUGUGUAAGUAACUGUGCACGUCUUGACGGUACCUAAUCAGAAAGCCACGGCUAACUACGUG
rnacentral:rRNA from 1 species